rnacentral:lncRNA from 1 species
GGUCCGGAGUAGACUGCUUGCAGUAGAAGUUCGAAGCAGAUCACUUGUAGUAGAAGUUCGGAGUAGACAGCUUGUAGUAGAAGUUCGGAGUAGACUGCUUGCGGUAGAAGCUCGGAGUAGAGACCCAGUUGGUAGAGCCUGUCCUGUUGUAGAAGUUCAUCUAUGAUCCAUCCACUAUAGGAAUUCGGCUGGAAUCCGGCUCUUGUAAGGGCUCAGAUGAAAUUCAGAGGGUGAUCGACCGCUGCAAAAAUUUGGAUGGAGUCUGGUUACGGUAGAAGUCCUGCU